UACGUAGGGGGCAAGCGUUGUCCGGAUUUAUUGGGCGUAAAGAGCGUGUAGGCGGCCAGACAGGUCAGCUGUGAAAACUCGAGGCUCAACCUCGAGACGUCGGUUGAAACCGUCUGGCUAGAGUCCGGAAGAGGAGAGUGGAAUUCCCGGUGUAGCGGUGAAAUGCGCAGAUAUCGGGAGGAACACCAGUGGCGAAGGCGACUACCUGGCCUGUUCUUGACGCUGAGGCGCGAAAGCUAGGGGAGCAAACGGG
rnacentral:rRNA from 1 species